rnacentral:lncRNA from 1 species
CAUGGGACUUGUAACCGUCACUUCCGUCUUGAGUAGUUAAAAGAUAGAACAGUCUAGCCAAGUGCCAUGUCUCUUAUUCUUGAUCAGCUAUAGCUCUGGAGUUUUUGCAGAUUUUCAAAUAAAACUCAGAGCUUGCUUUGUAUGACUCUCUCAUAUCUCUCUUUUGUGGUAUUUCUGGAUCCUUACCAAGACAGUGAUGGUUUAUGCUUUCUCUCAUUGCCUUCUCUCUCAUCCUACUCUAAUAAGGCUUUAAUAUCUGGAGCUCAUAGGUGAGAGAUAAAGUAUACAUACUUACAAGACAUUUAUUGCAUAGUCAAACCAUGGAUCCAAAGAAACAAAUCAAUAAGUCAAAUCAAGAUGUGCAUGUGUGACGAAUGAAUGGUGUAUGGUGAUGAUGGUGAUAAUGGUGAAAGUCUAAUUCUGCUUUGCUCUUUUGAGGGGAUACAUACCUUCCUUGCUUUCUGAAACUUUAUGAGGAGAAUGAGAUGCUCUUCUUUUUCUUUUUCUUUUUCUUUCCUCUCACGUGGGUAUCUUGUACCCCUUAUUGACGGUCCUUAAGUAUCAAAUUUAAUUAUCAAAUAAAUAAAGAAAAGGAUCCAAAUGAAAUCAAGAUCUAGACUUAGGGUUUUAUCUGACAGAAUUCCACGAGUUUUGGUGUUUGUCUAAUUCUGCAGGGGGUUAUCAGGAAAUAUGGAAGAAAGGCCCACAUGUCAGGAUUACGUAAAGAUAUUAACGUGCUGCGCAAUUAUCUUACAUCUAGAAGACUCCAGAAGCCACGAGACCGAAGCGGAGGCGAAACGGGGCCAGAGGCAGGGCGCCCGCCCUGUCCUACUGGGCGCCCGCCCCUGUCCAAGUCCAAUUAGGACUCUACUUUGCGGGAAGUCUCCACCGACCUAAAGGAUAAAUCUAAACCAUACAAUCUAUGUCGGUU